rnacentral:rRNA from 1 species
GAGAAUGUGCCUUCGGGAACCGUGAGACAGGUGCUGCAUGGCUGUCGUCAGCUCGUGUUGUGAAAUGUUGGGUUAAGUCCCGCAACGAGCGCAACCCUUAUCCUUUGUUGCCAGCGGUCCGGCCGGGAACUCAAAGGAGACUGCCAGUGAUAAACUGGAGGAAGGUGGGGAUGACGUCAAGUCAUCAUGGCCCUUACGACCAGGGCUACACACGUGCUACAAUGGCGCAUACAAAGAGAAGCGACCUCGCGAGAGCAAGCGGACCUCAUAAAGUGCGUCGUAGUCCGGAUUGGAGUCUGCAACUCGACUCCAUGAAGUCGGAAUCGCUAGUAAUCGUGGAUCAGAAUGCCACGGUGAAUACGUUCCCGGGCCUUGUACACACCGCCCGUCACACCAUGGGAGUGGGUUGCAAAAGAAGUAGGUAGCUUAACCUUCGGGAGGGCGCUUACCACUUUGUGAUUCAUGACUGGGGUGAAGUCGUAACAAGGUAACCGUAGGGGAACCUGCGGUUGGAUCACCUCCUU